rnacentral:rRNA from 1 species
UACGUAGGGGGCAAGCGUUGUCCGGAAUUAUUGGGCGUAAAGCGCGCGCAGGCGGCCUCGUAAGUCUGUCGUUUAAACUCGGAGCUCAACUUCGAGUCGCGAUGGAAACUGCAAAGCUUGAGUGCAGAAGAGGAAAGUGGAAUUCCACGUGUAGCGGUGAAAUGCGUAGAGAUGUGGAGGAACACCAGUGGCGAAGGCGACUUUCUGGGCUGUAACUGACGCUGAGGCGCGAAAGCGUGGGGAGCAAACAGG